CAAAUCAAACCUUACCAACAACAAGAUACUUUUUUGGGAAAGCCAUAUUUUACCUCAAUGCCUAAAUAAACCAUUAUAUUUAUUUUACGUCCAUUUUAACCAUUAUUAAUAUUAAAACUGUCUAACCUCUCUAAUUUAUCCUGUAAACCCUAAGGAAGACCCUUCGUCAUUUGUAAGCUGCCAUCAGACAUACUAAAAGGAAGAAAGGGAGCAGGCUGGAGCAUAAAUCUUCGUCGAUCAGGGGAAGCUUCACGAAAACAAGGUAAUUAAUCAAGAUUUGUUGUUUAAUCUGUUUGUCGAAGGAAUAAGUUCCCGUUGGAAAGGAGUUCCUACCUCCAAUUACUUGACGGUUCUGUUGUGGAACUUGACAACAAGUCAAAAAAACUAUCUUAGAUAGCCUUAACGAUCUUUCCUUUUCUGCAUUACGUGUUUUGGGUUUUGCAUACAAAGAAGAUCCUCCAUAGUUCACUACAUAUAAUGGUGAUGAAGAUCAUCCUGCGCAUAACCUUUUACUUGAUCCAACAAAUUACUCUUCAAUCGAAAUUAACUUGAUCUUUGUUGGCUAAGCUGGACUCAGGGAUCCUCCACGUAAGGAAGUUAGACAAGCCAUUGAAGAUUGCAGAGCAGCUGGGAUUCAAGCGAUUGUGAUAACAGGAGAUAACAAGAAUACAACUGAAGCAAUAUGUCGUGAUAUUGGUGUAUUUGGUCAGCAUGAAGACAUCAGUUCAAAAAGCUUAACUAUCAUGUAUCGGGCAAAACUGUCUUGUUUUGAGACAAAAAUGCAACCUGUAAUGUGUUUGUUUCAUUCGAUUUUGUUUCUUUUAUUUGGUUCAAUUUAUGUUUGUUUUUGUUAAGUUUUGUUUGGUUUGGACAAAAACAUAUAAAUAUACUCAAUUUUCUGUUAA